UGCAACAGAGGGGCGCUUACAUGCAUCUUGUACAUGGCACAGAACAUGAACAGCACACGAGGAAGACAACAGCGGUGAUUUUAACAUUUAUUGGUGACAGAUGGCGAAUAUAGUUUUAAAAAAAUAGCAUUUUGUCCUGUAGGCAGUGGUUGUGACAACUGUCUCGUCUGUGUACUGUCAGAAGUAUUCAAGGAACGUCGUGACAGGACAUAGUUUCACUUUUUAAGCAUGAGAUUUUCUGCUGCUUGGUUCAGCAAUCGAUCUACAAGUGUGAAAGCACCCUCAGAUGAAGACAGAUUAAUACAUGAACUCCAUAUGGAAGCGUGCAAGAAUCAGAAAAGAACAUGCAUUGAACCUAUAACCAGCAACAGUGUGUUUACUGAGACAUAGAAAAAGAGGAAAAUGCUGUGGGAUUGCCU